rnacentral:SRP_RNA from 1 species
GUUACGGUGGCUUGUGCCUGUAAUCCAAGCUCCAGGGAGGCUGAGGUUGGUGGAUCGCUGAGCCUGGGGCUUCUGGGCUGCAGGGAGCUGUGCCGAGCGGGCGUCCAAGCUAAGGCCAGCAUCAAUAUGGUGGCCCUCGGGGAGCCGGGGGCCACCAGGUCGCCCAAGGAGGGGUGAACCGGCCCAGGUCGGAGACGGAGCAGGUCAAAGCUCCCGUGGCGGUCAGUAGCGGGACCGGGAGCCCUAUGAUAACUUACCCAAUGGCGCCAGCAGAUGUCGCCAAGCUCA